UUGCACCGUUUCGUAAUCAGUUAGAAGAUUCAGCGAGCGCAAAAGUUGUUGUGUGUUCGUGCGCUCUCGUCUUUACGCCCGCGGCGCACUCAGAGCGGCGCAACAGCGCUACACGGGUAUCUAUCAGCGAGCGGAUAUUCUCCACAGCUUACAUCUGAAUCUCUCCAGCAAAGAACGUCGACUUUAGAAGAGUUUUUGUGGUGUUUGAUCGUGUUUUGGAGGCCGUGAUGAGAAGCAGCGGCGAAGAGCAGCAGAAAGACCCGGAGAGAUGCAUGCAGCCAGGGAUAGCAUUAGCACUGACUUUGGUGUGCAGUUGGUCAAAGAACAAACCUUUUUAGUGACUGCCUUGAGUGUCUUCCUACACUGUAAAUACUGUAAAUAGUUGCUUUUAGUUUUUCAGUAACUUGAUAUUCAUAAUAAUUAGCAGAAAAAAAAAUCUACAAUUACAAAAUGUAAAAUAAAUAAAUUGUAUUUUG